rnacentral:rRNA from 1 species
GACGAACGCUGGCGGCGUGCUUAACACAUGCAAGUCGAACGGAAAGGCCCUGCGUUUGUGGGGUGCUCGAGUGGCGAACGGGUGAGUAACACGUGAGUAACCUGCCCUUGACUUUGGGAUAACUUCAGGAAACUGGGGCUAAUACCGGAUAGGAGCUCCUGCUGCAUUGUGGGGGUUGGAACGUUUCGGCGGUUGGGGAUGGACUCGCGGCUUAUCAGCUUGUUGGUGGGGUAGUGGCUUACCAAGGCUUUGACGGGUAGCCGGCCUGGGAGGGUGACCGGCCACAUUGGGACUACGAGACGGACCAGAGUCCUACGGGAGGCAGCAGUGGGGAAUAUGGCACAAUGGGCGGAAGCCUGAUGCAGCAACGCCGCGUGCGGGAUGACGGCUUUCGGGUUGUAAACCGCUUCCGCCUGUGACGAAGCGGGAGUGACGGUAAUGGGUAAAGAAGCACCGGCUAACUACGUG